AUGGCUUCUCCACCUGUAAGUUUCCAUGUUGUCUGCUGUUGGAAGAACAUCUAUGAGGGACUGUGAAUAGAAUCUUUAUCUUCUGCUUAUAUACAACACUUACUCAUGGGCCAGUGGCACAAUUUCUAGCUGUACAAGGAUAUCAUGGUGUUUGAUAAGUUGAUGACAAUGAAACUAAUGACCAUGUUAACAUCAGAGGAAAAGCAAACUGGGAGAAGAAAGGACAACAUUGUUUUCGAUCUUGAAGGCCUGCGUAGACAUAGGACCAGGAAGGGGAGCUAGGAGUGGGAGAAGUGCCUGUGACUGAUAUAUGCACUAUCAGAUAGAAAUCCAGUUCAAAAGGAAAUCUGAAAUAGUGAAAUAG
rnacentral:lncRNA from 1 species